rnacentral:rRNA from 1 species
UGUGGCGGUAGAAGCGGCGGAGUGAUCCAGCCGUGGACGCCACGCGAGUGAGAAUGCAGGCAUGAGUAGCGAAUGCAGAGUGAGAAUCUCUGCCGCCGAAUGACCAAGGGUUCCUGGGCCAGGUUGUUCCGCCCAGGGUGAGCCGGGACCUAAGGCGAGGCCGACAGGCGUAGUCGAUGGACAACGGGUUGAUAUUCCCGUACCGGCG